GGACAACUGGGCUGGCAACCCAGAGAGCAACCACAAUCUAGGAGAAGUGGCUGGCAUACCAGAAGGCUGUGCUGCAUUUCAGCAAGACCUGGACAGGCUGGAGAAUUAGGUGGAGAGGAAUGUGAUGAGAUUCAACAAGGGCAAGUGUAGUGUCCUUCACCUGGGAACAAAUAACUGCACACAUCAGCACAGGUCAGGGGCUGACCUGGUGGAAAGGAGCUCUGCAGAGAAGGACCUGGGUGUGUUGGUGGACAACAGGAUGACCAUGAGCUAGCAGUGGCCAAGAUGUCAUGUUUUCUUACCUGGAAGACCGAACCACUGAAGUUGCUGAACACGAUGUACAAACUGAAGAAACCUGGUCAUCAGCUGGCAAUUUCAGCUGAAAGGAACAUCUGAUUCCUAAAGUUACAGAACUUGUCUGAAAGAUUUGUUUGAAAAAGAGAAUUAACUGCUCAAUGUCCCAGAUAUCCUCAACAGUGGAAUGUCUGGAUGCUUUCACCGAGAAGAUUCAUCCAUGGAGUCUUUUCAUUUCCAGGGGGAAAAAAAAAAAGAAACAACAACAACAAAAAACAUUUAAACUGAAGAUAUUGCAGAGAGUCAUUCCCAAGGAGAUUAAUUAUAUUGUGACCUUCUCAUAAAAUCAGCCCUUGUUUUUACUUCAUGAUUCUCAUCUGGCCAACCAGCUGGAGCAGACCGCAGCACAGAAGUAUGAAACACUACAGGUGAUAAUUGAAGGACAUUCUGGGGAGGAGGAGAAGGUACCUGGGGGAUCCAAAACAUGGAGUGCAGCUCCCCAGGGAGCCCACAUGGAGCACUGGAAGAAUCAGUAACCUGAGGAGAGAAACUCACUGCACACAAUGAAUGAUAACCUAUACUCAACAGUGUGAAAGAGCAAGAGAAAAGAUGGGGUUCAAAGUGCAACUCUACAAGAAGGGCAAGCUUCCAGCCUGAUAUGGCAGCAAGACAUCUCUCACUCAGGAUCUGCAAAAGCAACCUUCCCUGGUGUCAGGAUAUGAACAACCUUUCCUCAGCAUACCCAGGGGCUACCCUGCUCUCCUCAGCCUUGCAUGCUUCUAGGUGUAGCCAAAACUCUGCUUUGUGUAAACAGUAUACGUCAUUCAGUGUGUAACGGCACUUGUGCUUUAGGGUAGUAUCUUGCCUAGCCUCCAUCUGAAGGUAUGAACCUCCUCUGUUCCUGUGCCACAUGUCCCAGCCUCAUUCAGGUGUUUCAUGUCCCACCCAACUUGUAGAAACAGCAAGUUACUUGGGAUAGAAAUAUACAUGUGUUCAAGCAACUACGCAGAAUCAGUAGAUAGUUGAAAACAGUAGCAGUAGUCUCUUUUUGCCUCAGCUCCCCAUCUUCAGAACAGUGGUUAAAAUGCAUUAGUUAAUUCUUGAGAACCAUGGAUACACAGCAGUAAAAGCCCUGCAGGAUCCCAAAGAGAGGUACAAGUAGAAUCAUAGAGUCACAGAAUUGCUCAGGUUGGAAAAGACCUUAAAGAUCAUCAAGUCCAACUACAACCGAACCAUACAACGCUAACUCUAACAACCCUCCACUAAAUCAUGUCCCUAAGCACCACAUCCAAACGGUUUUUAAACACAUCCAAGGAUGGUGACUCAACCACCUCCCUGGGGAGCCUAUUCCAGUGCUUAACAACCCUUUCUGUAAGGAAGUUUUUUCUGAUAUCCAACCUAAACCUACCCUGGUGCAACUUGAGGCCAUUUCUCCUCAUCCUGUCACCUAUGAGAUCAACUCCACUCUUGCUGUACGCACCUUUCAGAUACUGGAAGAGAGCAAUAAGGUCUCCCCUCAGCCUCCUCUUUCCCAGACUAAACAGCCCUAGGUCCCUCAGUCGUUCCCCGUAGGGCAUAUUCUCCAAGCCCUUCACAAGCCUUAUGGCCCUUGUUUGGACCUGCUGCAGCACCUCAGUGUCCUUUCUGUAUUGAAGUGCCCAAAACUGAACAUAGAACUCAAGGUGAGGCCUCACCAAUGCUGAGUACAGGGGCAGGAUUUCUUUCCUAGUCCUGCUCACCACACUAUUCCUGAUACAAGCUAGGAUGCCAUUGGCCUUCUUGGCCACCUGGGCACACUGCUGGCUCAUAUUCAGCUGACUAUCCAUCAGUACACCAAGGCCCCUUUCUGUCAGGCAGAUUUCCAGCCACUCACUCCCAAGCCUGUAGGGUUGCCUGGGAUUGUUGUGACCAAAAUGCAGGACCCAACACGUGGCCCUUUUGAAACUCAUACAGUUCACCUUGGCCCAUCAAUCCAGUCUAUCCAGGUCUCUCUGUAGUGCCUUUCUCCCCUCUGGCAGAUCAACACUCCCUCCCAACCUGAUGUCAUCUGCAGACUUACUGAGGGUGCACUCAAUCUCCUCAUCAAGAUCAUUAAUAAAGAUGUUAAAUAGAAGCGGCCCCAGUAAAUUCUGUAUCUAUUCUAAGUGUUAUAUGAUAUACGUUAAAUAAUAACUUGAUCUGCACGUUGAGUGGAGGCUGAAAGGGAUCCCUGAAAAGCAGCUCACUCACUGAAAAAGGCAGGAUUCUGAGAGAAGAGGAAGGUGUGAUCAUCUAACUAAGAAACGUAUAAUUAUCUCUACACAAAUUGGGGCUGAACUUCAAGCUUAAAAGUAAUCUCAGUUCUAGUAUUUCUUAACUUUUCCUUGCAUAAUUUUGCAGCUUCAGUGUCUUUUGCAAAACAUGUUUCAGUUCCCUCCUGAGAGUAAGACCUGAACAUACUGGGGGAUAGCACUUUUGUCCCACACAGCCACUCCAACUACAAUGUGUGGGAAGCAGAGCCUGGUUCUCCAGUGCUUCAGCUCAGAAACCUUCCACUUGAAGUAACAGCAGGCAAAGCACACAGGACACUAAACAAGGCCAGUGGACUGCUCCAAGGUGGUAACUGAACCACAGCAUCCUGAGCUGUGAGAAGGGUGCUCCUUCUUCUUCUUCUCUGACUUACUCACCAUCAACUCGUCACCUUCACUCCUCCUUACUCUUUCUUAGCUCUUCCACCUCUUUUUGUUUGCUGCCAGUCCUUUUCCUCUGCUCUUUAAGAAACAGUUUUCUCUUGGCUGCUGCUUUGGUAUUUAAUCUCCUGCUGACAAACAUCAUCCUGGAUGUUUCAGUCCCUGGCAAGCCCUGUUCUUGCACUCCCUGGAGCCUAUGCUCCCUAGCCAGCUUCUGCUUUUGUUGUAACCUGGUCAUCAGAAGGCAUGUAACAGGGACAGAAUUCUAGCUCCAAAAAUUGGUGACUUGUACCACAGUGACACACAGGAACUACAAUUGUAAGAAUGACCUGCUCAGCUGUGGAUGGCCCACCAGAGUGUCUGUAAGGUCAAUAAGAAUACAGAUGUUGCAAAGUAUUGGAUGAUCAAUAAGUAUACAGAGAAGUUAGGCUUAGUAAGAUUAUCACAUUGGAAAAGAGAAUCA
ensembl:lncRNA